rnacentral:lncRNA from 1 species
UGCAGUAGAAGAAAUUAAGUUCUCUCAGUUUCUUUGUUUCGCUAUUAAUUAGUGUUUGUGGCAGAGACCGAAAUCUAAAGAUGUCUAUCUCUUAUCUUAAAUAAUUAGUCGGCAUGUGGCUGCUAUCUUUCAGUUAGGGAGUUUUGUUUUCCGUGGUUUGUGCACAAUGUUUGAGGUUUCUUAUCUUCUGGUAUUGGGCUUGGUUAAGGGACCAGAGUUGCAUCUGUUAAAUAGAGGCUAUCUGUUUUAUGUUUUGGCAGCAAUGUUAAUUAGUCAAUUACUACUUAUCCAGCAAUACUUAUAUGGGCACAACCACAAAUUAAAUAUACUAGAUGCGAACUCGCACCUUGACUUGUUUAAAUUUAUUUUUCAGUUCAUGAUUGUGUAAUUUCAAAAUUGUCAUAUGGUAGAGAGCUGAAGAGGAAUGUAGACCUGUCUACAUAAGCUAACGAGUCUUAAACUCAUGACUGAAAAUGGUUGAAUAAGCAGAAUGUUAUAUACCAAUGCAAGUAAGACGCCCAUCACACAAAUCGACCCACCUUAAGAGUUGCUGCCGUUGUUGUAAUUGAAUCUCCGCAUGACUGAGGCGGGAGAUUCCACAUUUCUGAGGUGAACAUCUAAUGCCUUGAGGAUCGUUUUUGUUUCAUACCGCAACGCCCACAAUUCGCAUAUCACAAGCAACAUCUGCGAAAAGCAACUUAAAACUAAGGUUAGAACAGUAACAUUGGUUGGAGAGGGUUUCAAUAGUGGAUAGAACUUGAAAGAAUUCAAGGAAUUAACGCAGGGGUGAUUGGAAAGUAAUGACAUGCUGGUUUUUUUACUCGAAUAACGAGUUGUUGAUUGAUGAUAGUAUAGGAAGUAUUAGUAAGAAUAUGAGAAUAGUAGCAAUGCAAUAUAGAGUGCCACAUAAGAAAAAUGAAUGAUGUAGCACAAAUGGUAUUAUGUGGAAAAAAAAUUUAUGAGAUGUCAACAAAAUAACUUUGGAGUCUAAUUUAAUAAGUUAUAUAAUAGAUAGAUUUAAUAAGUUAUCAUAGAUUUAGACACAUACACAUAAAAAAAUGUUCAAUUGAACUCAAUUGUAUAUAGUUAGGGACAUGGUUAUAUCUGUUAUAGGAGUAACCUACAUAGCCUGUACUUUCAGCUCUAUAUAAGAGCAUCUUUUUCUUUUGAAAUAAACAAGUUAUUUCAUUCUGCUAUUUUUCUCUACCUUACAAUUGGCAUCAAAGCUCUUUAUUGGGGACCGAGAAGAAAAAGCAAUCAAGAAAAAAAAUGUGAGUUCAAUUUUGUAGUUGUUUGGAAAUGGCAAGCAACACAAAUGACAGAAUCUUGAUGGAAAUUUUCUUAGAUCAAAGGAGUAUUGGAGUCUUGUUGAUGAUGGAGUUGCACGAUUGGGGAGUGGAGGACCUUUAACAGCAGCAGAACAGAAAACUCCAUAUGAGAUGAUGCUUAAAUAUCUCAAGGUGAAGAAUUAUCUGUUACAUGCGAUUGAUAGAAAAAUCAUAGAGACGAUCUUGGAGAAGAAUACAUUGAAAAAGAUAUGGGCUUCAAUGAGAGGAAAGGACAAAGGCUACAAAUCCAUAUAAGGUAAAGGAUUAAGAACAUAAACUAUCUCGGAUAUUUUCUUUCAAACUGAGCACAGAAAGGCAGAAGUUAGCAUCAUUGAUUUGGUAAUAUAGUAAUAGGUACAUAGAGCAGUUGCAUAAUCAAGAUUUAGGAAGGAAAGGAAAUGAGUUAUUAGAAACUUAUACAACAUUGUUCAGGCAUCUUAAAAGACCUCCAAAAGUCCCUACUAAAUUUGGCUUCUUGAAUCUUGAAACUUGCUCAUAUAUAAAAUAUUUAAAUUGAUUGUUAUUUUCCUAAUACUUAAUUAUUGAAUGUAUGAUUGAUUAUAUUAAUAUUGUUUUUGUUAU